rnacentral:rRNA from 1 species
CACUCCUCCGGGAGGCAGCAGUAGGGAAUCUUCCACAAUGGGUGCAAACCUGAUGGAGCAAUGCCGCGUGAGUGAAGAAGGUCUUCGGAUCGUAAAGCUCUGUUGUUAGAGAAGAACACGUGCUAGGUAACUACUAGCGCCUUGACGGUAUCUAACCAGAAAGUCACGGCUAACUACGUGCCAGCAGCCGCGGUAAUACGUAGGUGACAAGCGUUGUCCGGAUUUAUUGGGCGUAAAGGGAGCGCAGGCGGUCUGUUUAGUCUAAUGUGAAAGCCCACGGCUUAACCGUGGAACGGCAUUGGAAACUGACAGACUUGAAUGUAGAAGAGGAAAAUGGAAUUCCAAGUGUAGCGGUGGAAUGCGUAGAUAUUUGGAGGAACACCAGUGGCGAAGGCGAUUUUCUGGUCUAACAUUGACGCUGAGGCUCGAAAGCGUGGGGAGCGAACAGGAUUAGAAACCCGAGUAGUCCCAUG